CCUAUUUAGAAUUUAUCUGUUAUUAAUUUAUUUUCAUAGCUUUCCUGCUAUUGCAACAAGAUAAUAUGGUUUUCAACCUCUGAUUCUUGAUAACUAACGCAGAGAACUUUCCUUGGCUGUUCCCGGAUAUGUUCUUAAGUUACAUCUUUUUAGAAACCUCAGUCAAAGUUUUAAAUGCAACCAACUCAAUUAAAGGGGAAAUACAAGUAGACUAUGAGAUAGAUUGAUCUGAUGGAGAAGAGGGUGGUUAUGGCAGAGUCGAUGCUGGAGGGUACAUUACAGUACCAAUCUGGUCAAGCUAAGUGUUCAAAUCCAUCAAGAAUGCUAUUGAAUCCAUUGAAAGGGCUGUAGAGCAUGGAAUAAUGAAUUUUCUUAUUUCGUCAGAUUCUACAAUGC